rnacentral:rRNA from 1 species
UACAGAGGGUGCGAGCGUUGUCCGGAAUCACUGGGCGUAAAGGGCGCGUAGGUGGCGCUGCAAGUCGGUGGUGAAAGCUCGUCGCUUAACGACGAGUCGGCCAUCGAAACUGCGGGGCUGGAGCACUGUAGGGGCAGAUGGAAUUCCGGGUGUAGCGGUGGAAUGCGUAGAGAUCCGGAAGAACACCGGUGGCGAAGGCGGCCUGCUGGGCAGUAGCUGACACUGAGGCGCGACAGCGUGGGGAGCAAACAGG